rnacentral:tRNA from 1 species
GCCCUCGUAGCUCAAUCGGCAGAGCGUGAGACUCUUACACCUUCCUGAGUGGUAUCUCAAGGCUGUGGGUUCGACCCCCACCGGGGGCU